UAAUGUUGCUUUUCUGGUCAUUUCCUUAUUUCCUAUUUCCUAAUUUGGUGAUCUACAUGAUGCUUCUUUAUCUAUGCAUGAUUCCUUUAUAACGAUAGCUUUGUUUUCUUUUACUGUCAUUGGAUCCUAAUCCUUACCCUUUUUCUCUACAUGUACUAUUUGCUUUGAAUCCAAAAAUGGAUUCAAUUUCUCGUUGCAUUUUCUUCACGGUCAUUAAGGCUCGUUAUCUCCAACGAG
rnacentral:lncRNA from 1 species